rnacentral:rRNA from 1 species
UCCCAGACUCCUACGGGAGGCAGCAGUGGGGAAUAUUGCACAAUGGGGGGAACCCUGAUGCAGCGACGCCGCGUGGGUGAAGGAGCACCUCGGUGCGUAAAGCCCUAUCGGCAGGGAAGAAAAGCGAACAGGUUCGCCUGGACGGUACCUGACUAAGAAGCCCCGGCUAACUACGUGCCAGCAGCCGCGGGAAUACGUAGGGGGCAAGCGUUAUCCGGAUUCACUGGGUGUAAAGGGAGCGUAGACGGUCCUGCAAGCCAGAUGUGAAAGCCCGGGGCUCAACCCCGGGACUGCAUUUGGAACUGUAAGGCUAGAGUGUCGGAGAGGCGGGCGGAAUUCCUAGUGUAGCGGUGAAAUGCGUAGAUAUUAGGAGGAACACCAGUGGCGAAGGCGGCCUGCUGGACGAUGACUGACGUUGAGGCUCGAAAGCGUGGGGAGCAAACAGGAUUAGAUACCCCUGUAA